UCCGGUGGUCUAGUGGUUAGAGUGUCCGCAUCGGAUGCGGGAGGUUGUGGGUUCGAUCCCCGGCCUAGUCAU